CCUACGGGGGGCUGCAGUGAGGAAUUUUGGGCAAUGGGCGAAAGCCUGACCCAGCAACGCCGCGUGGGUGAAGAAGGCCUUCGGGUCGUAAAGCCCUUUUCCCAGGGAAGAUAGUGACGGUACCUGGGGAAUCAGCCCCGGCUAACUACGUGCCAGCAGCCGCGGUAAUACGUAGGGGGCAAGCGUUGUCCGGAUUUAUUGGGCGUAAAGCGCUCGCAGGUGGUUCAUUGCGUCGUGCGUGAAAGACCCCGGCUCAACUGGGGAGGGUCGUGCGAAACGGGUGAACUAGAGGCCAGUAGGGGGAUGCGGAAUUCCGGGUGUAGUGGUGGAAUGCGUAGAGAUCCGGAGGAACACCAGCGGCGAAGGCGGCAUCCUGGACUGGUCCUGACACUCAGGAGCGAAAGCGUGGGGAGCGAACCGGCUUAGAUACCCCAGUAGUC
rnacentral:rRNA from 1 species